rnacentral:rRNA from 1 species
CAGGUAGGACUACCCGCUGAACUUAAGCAUAUCAAUAAGCGGAGGAAAAGAAACUAACAAGGAUUCCCCUAGUAACUGCGAGUGAAGCGGGAAAAGCUCAAAUUUAAAAUCUGGCAGUCUCUGAUUGCCGAGUUGUAAUCUAGAGAAGUGUUAUCCGCGUUGAAC